rnacentral:rRNA from 1 species
CAGCCGCCGCGGUAAUACGAAGGGGGGCAAGCGUUGUUCGGAAUUAUUGGGCGUAAAGGGUGCGUAGGCGGCUUGACAAGUCUUGUGUGAAAUCUAUGGGCUCAACCCAUAGUCUGCACGGGAAACUGUCGGGCUUGAGAAUGGGAGAGGUGAGUGGAAUUUCCGGUGUAGCGGUGAAAUGCGUAGAUAUCGGAAGGAACACCUGUGGCGAAAGCGGCUCACUGGACAAUUACUGACGCUGAUGCACGAAAGCUAGGGGAGCAAACAGGAUUAGAUACCCCGGUAGUCCCUGUCUCUUAUA